GAAGAACUAGUUAAAUAUAUAACGUUAGGAUGUCAAUUUAAAGUUGCUAAAUUACAGCGUUUUUCU
rnacentral:tRNA from 1 species